UUUAAAAACAUUUUUUGUUAAAGCAACACUAGGGAACUUUUCCCGCUUCGGUCUCCCUACAGGUUAGAAGCGGAAUUGUCCAUUACAUUGCAUUGUCCAGUUCAUUCAAACUACAGAUCGGCUACCCAAUCUGGCAAAGUUGAAUAAUGUGUUGUA